rnacentral:rRNA from 1 species
GACUGGCGGGUGCUAUACUGCAGUCGAGCGAAUGGAUUGAAAGCUUGCUCUCGGAAGUUAGCGGCGGACGGGUGAGUAACACGUGGGUAACCUGCCCAUAAGACUGGGAUAACUCCGGGAAACCGGGGCUAAUACCGGAUAACAUUUUGAACUGCGUGGUUCGAAAUUGAAAGGCGGCUUCGGCUGUCACUUAUGGAUGGACCCGCGUCGCAUUAUCUAUUUGGUGAGGUAACGGCUCACCAGGGCAACGAUGCGUACCCGACCUGAGAGGGUGAUCGGCCACUCUGGGACUGACACACGGCCCACACUCCUACGGGAGGCAGCAGUAGGGAAUCUUCCGCAGUGGACGAAAGUCUGACGGAGCAACGCCGCGUGAGUGAUGAAGGCUUUCAGGUCGUAAAACUCUGUUGUUAGGGAAGAACAAGUGCUAGUUGAAUAAUCUGGCACCUUGACGGUACCUAACCAAAAAGCCACGGCUAACUACGUGCCAGCAGCCGCGGUAAUACGUAGGUGGCAAGCGUUAUCCGGAAUUAUUGGGCGUAGAGCGCGCGCAGGUGGUUUCUUAAGUCUGAUGUGAAAGCCCACGGCUCAACCGUGGAGGGUCAUUGGAAACUGGGAGACUUGAGUGCAGAAGAGGAAAGUGGAAUUCCAUGUGUAGCGGUGAAAUGCGUAGAGAUAUGGAGGAACACCAGUGACGAAGGCGACUUUCUGGUCUGUAGCUGACACUGAGGCGCGAAAGCGUGAGGAGCAAACAGGAUUAGAUACCCUGGUAGUCCACGCCCGUAGACGAUGACUGCUAGUGUUAGAGGUCUUCCGCCCUUUUACUGCUGAAAUAACGUCAUUAAGCACUCCGCCUGAGUAGUACCGCCGCAACUGCUGAAACUC